UACGUAGGGCGCAAGCGUUGUCCGGAAUUAUUGGGCGUAAAGAGCUCGUAGGCGGCUUGUCACGUCGGAUGUGAAAGCCCGGGGCUUAACUCCGGGUCUGCAUUCGAUACGGGCUGGCUAGAGUGUGGUAGGGGAGAUCGGAAUUCCUGGUGUAGCGGUGAAAUGCGCAGAUAUCAGGAGGAACACCGGUGGCGAAGGCGGUUCUCUGGGCAUUACCUGACGCUGAGGAGCGAAAGUGUGGGGAGCGAACAGG
rnacentral:rRNA from 1 species